GGGCCCUUAGCUCAGUUGGUUAGAGCUGGCGGCUCAUAACCGCCUGGUCCUGGGUUCGAGUCCCCGAGGGCCCACCA
rnacentral:tRNA from 1 species